ACCGCAAGUUGGAGUUUGACAGUGACUACACAGAGUUCAAGUUCCAGAUCCAAGGACUCUUCCAGUCUCUCCAGUCAUUGCUAGUGGCCUGGUUUGAGCAGUCACUAACCACUGAGCGAAUGCUUGACCUCCUCUCCAAGUUUGAGAAUGGCGUCGGUAAGCAGCUGGACCUCACAGACAAAUACAUGGCAGUACUGCAGCGCUAUAGCCGAGACCUGGAGCUUGUCAGGAAGCUCUAUCAAAAGCAGAAGGACAACCCU